rnacentral:misc_RNA from 1 species
UUGAUUCAUUUGCUUGUUUUCUUGACUCGGAGAGAGAUGCCACUGCGACAGGGGAGUCUGGGGGUCCUCCGGCGGGCGCCUUGGUCCGGGGCCGCGGGGGCGCCGGGGCUGCCCCGCCGAGGCAACGCUUGGGGUAUGGUUCACAGGGGGUUUGGGAGUCUUGUAAACUCGAUAAUGAUCCCUCCGCUGGUUCACCAACGGAGA